rnacentral:rRNA from 1 species
CAAUAGCAUAUAUUAACGUUGUUGCAGUUGAAAAGCUCGUAGUUGAACUUUUGGUAGGAGCGACCUGGCCUUGGGCGCAUGCCCUUGUUUGCCGUGUGUCGUAUCUGGCCAUCCUUUUCCGCUUCGGCGGGAAUCCUUUACUGUGAGUAAACUGGAGUGCUCAAAACAAGACGUUUGUUUGGUACAUUAAAGCGUGGAAUAAUAAGAUAGGACCUGGUUACUAUUUUGUUGGUUUGCAUAGCUUGGUAAUGAUUAACAGGGACAGUUGGGGGUAUUCGUAUUUAAUUGUCAGAGGUGAAAUUCUUGGAUUUAUGAAAGACGAACGACUGCGAAAGCAUUUACCAAGGAUGUUUUCAUUAA